GAUGAACGCUGGCGGCGUGCUUAACACAUGCAAGUCGAACGGUGAAGGAGAGCUUGCUCUUUGGAUCAGUGGCGAACGGGUGAGUAACACGUGAGCAAUCUGCCCCUGACUCUGGGAUAAGCGUUGGAAACGACGUCUAAUACUGGAUACGAGCUGCGACCGCAUGGUCAGCAGUUGGAAAGAAUUUCGGUCAGGGAUGAGCUCGCGGCCUAUCAGCUUGUUGGUGAGGUAAUGGCUCACCAAGGCGUCGACGGGUAGCCGGCCUGAGAGGGUGACCGGCCACACUGGGACUGAGACACGGCCCAGACUCCUACGGGAGGCAGCAGUGGGGAAUAUUGCACAAUGGGCGCAAGCCUGAUGCAGCAACGCCGCGUGAGGGACGACGGCCUUCGGGUUGUAAACCUCUUUUAGCAAGGAAGAAGCGAAAGUGACGGUACUUGCAGAAAGAGCGCCGGCUAACUACGUGCCAGCAGCCGCGGUAAUACGUAGGGCGCAAGCGUUAUCCGGAAUUAUUGGGCGUAAAGAGCUCGUAGGCGGUUUGUCGCGUCUGCUGUGAAAUCCCGAGGCUCAACCUCGGGUCUGCAGUGGGUACGGGCAGACUAGAGUGCGGUAGGGGAGAUUGGAAUUCCUGGUGUAGCGGUGGAAUGCGCAGAUAUCAGGAGGAACACCGAUGGCGAAGGCAGAUCUCUGGGCCGUAACUGACGCUGAGGAGCG
rnacentral:rRNA from 1 species